rnacentral:rRNA from 1 species
GCAGCAGCCACGGGAAUACAGAGGGUGCGAGCGUUAAUCGGAUUUACUGGGCGUAAAGCGUGCGUAGGCGGCUUUUUAAGUCGGAUGUGAAAUCCCUGAGCUUAACUUAGGAAUUGCAUUCGAUACUGGGAAGCUAGAGUAUGGGAGAGGAUGGUAGAAUUCCAGGUGUAGCGGUGAAAUGCGUAGAGAUCUGGAGGAAUACCGAUGGCGAAGGCAGCCAUCUGGCCUAAUACUGACGCUGAGGUACGAAAGCAUGGGGAGCAAACAGGAUUAGAUACCCGCGUAGUCCCUGUCUCUUAUAA